AUUGAACGCUGGCGGCAGGCCUAACACAUGCAAGUCGAACGGUAACAGGAAACAGCUUGCUGUUUCGCUGACGAGUGGCGGACGGGUGAGUAAUGUCUGGGAAACUGCCUGAUGGAGGGGGAUAACUACUGGAAACGGUAGCUAAUACCGCAUACCGUCGCAAGACCAAAGAGGGGGACCUUCGGGCCUCUUUCCAUCGGAUGUGCCCCGAUGGGAUUAGCUAGUAGGUGGGGUAACGGCUCACCUAGGCGAGGAUCCCUAGCUGGUCUGAGAGGAUGACCAGCGACACUGGAACUGGGACACGGUCCAGACUCCUACGGGAGGCAGCAGUGGGGAAUAUUGCACAAUGGGCGCAAGCCUGAUGCAGCCAUGCCGAGUGUAUGAAGAAGGCCUUCGGUUUGUAAAGUACUUUCAGCGGGGAGGAAGGGAGUAAAGUUAAUACCUUUACUCAUUGACGUUACCCGCAGAAGAAGCACCGGCUAACUCCGUG
rnacentral:rRNA from 1 species